GGUCACAUGGCGCAAUGGUAGCGCGUUGCUCUCCUAAUGUUCACCUAACAAGGUGACAACCUGGCGGCAAGCAGAGGUUGCAGGUUCGAGUCCUGCUGUGAUCG